CCGCAGGCCGCGCUGAAGUUUUUUUUGUUAAUCCGCCGCCGCCGCCGCGCGGCGUCCCGGCGGGGCGGGGCCGACUGGGGCCGGCGGCAGCGAGAGGGGUGGAGUGAGAUCCUUUUUUCGCGGGGGGCCCGGCCAUCCAAGUGCCGGAGUCCGCG
rnacentral:rRNA from 1 species